CCUACGGGCGGCAGCAGUGAGGAAUAUUGGUCAAUGGGCGCGAGCCUGAACCAGCCAAGUCGCGUGAGGGAAGACGGUCCUAUGGAUUGUAAACCUCUUUUGUCGGGGAGCAACAGACGCCCCGCGUGGCGUUCCGAGAGUACCCGAAGAUAAAGCAUCGGAUCACUCCGUGCCAGCAGCUGAGGUAAUAAGGAGGAUGCGAGCGUUAUCCGGAUUUAUUGGGUGUACCGGGUGAGCAGGCGGAAGAUCAAGUUAUCGGUAAAAUUGAGAGGCUCAACCUAUUCGAGCCGUUGAAACUGGUUUUCGUGAGUGAGUGGGAAGGAUGCGGAAUGCGUUGUGU
rnacentral:rRNA from 1 species